rnacentral:rRNA from 1 species
UACGUAGGGUGCGAGCGUUAAUCGGAAUUACUGGGCGUAAAGCGUGCGCAGGCGGUUUGUUAAGUCUGAUGUGAAAGCCCCGGGCUCAACCUGGGAACUGCAUUGGAAACUGGCAAGCUCGAGUAUGGCAGAGGGGGGUGGAAUUCCGCGUGUAGCAGUGAAAUGCGUAGAGAUGCGGCGGAACACCGAUGGCGAAGGCAGCCCCCUGGGCUGAGAUUGACGCUCAGGCACGAAAGCGUGGGGAGCAAACAGG